rnacentral:lncRNA from 1 species
GGAAACCCCCAGCAAGCAACUUUGUCCACCAACCAGUUAUGGGGGCACAGAGCAAGAAAAGGGAAAGAGAGGAAAAAUCAUCCACCGGAAAGGCACCUCCUCCCACCAUGAUUAAAACUAACUAAAUCCUUUUGUCUGCUGCAGGAAAACAAAGGAUUGAUGAUGGCAGCAGGAUGCGAUGCCAGGGAAGUCACCAAAACCGGGGUAGAAAACUUUCUGCCGAUUGUCAAAAAUUUUCUCGGAAGAACGAGGAAACAAUUUUAAUACUUUUCAGCUCUAGGUCUCCCACCAGUAAAAUGCGGAAAUACUUUUCAGCUCUAGGUCGCCCACCAGUAAAAUGCGGGAAUACUUUUCAGCUCUAGGUCGCCCACCAGUAAAAUGCGGGAAUACUUUUCAGCUCUAGGUCGCCUACCAGU